AAUUUGUUUACAAUUUCAGUAUGUUAUGUAGUUACAGAUGAGUAAGUCAGAGAAUUAAUUUCACAAUGAAGUAAUUAACACUUUCAAAGGACUGUACUUUAAAAUUUCAAAGUGUGAUGUUUUCUAUUGGUGUAGAAUGAGCCUAAAUAAGGAGUAAAAAGACACGAGCCCUACUCCUUGAUCUGCCAAUGACAGAUGACUUUGGGCCACCAUGUUAUCUCUCUGAGCCUCAGUUUCCUUAUGGUGAGAACACAGUAGUCUCCCCCUUAUUUUCAGGGGAUGCAUUCCAAGACCCCCUGUGGAUGCUUCAAACCAUGGUUAGUAUCAAACCCUAUAUAUACUGUUUUUUUGAUCUGAUAACCAAGCCUGCUACUAAGUGACUUGUGGGUGGGUAGCAUCUACAGUGUAGAUAGGCUGGACAUAGGGAUGAUUCAUGUCCCAGGCUGGACAGUGAGAUGGCAGGACAGUACAAGAUUUCACCACAAA
rnacentral:lncRNA from 1 species